UACGUAGGGUGCAAGCGUUGUCCGGAAUUAUUGGGCGUAAAGAGCUCGUAGGCGGCUUGUCGCGUCGAUUGUGAAAGCUCGGGGCUUAACCCCGGGUCUGCAGUCGAUACGGGCAGGCUAGAGUUCGGUAGGGGAGAUCGGAAUUCCUGGUGUAGCGGUGAAAUGCGCAGAUAUCAGGAGAAACACCGGUGGCGAAGGCGGAUCUCUGGGCCGAUACUGACGCUGAGGAGCGAAAGCGUGGGGAGCGAACAGG
rnacentral:rRNA from 1 species